rnacentral:lncRNA from 1 species
CUCAAUGUUCUGAGACUAAAUACUACGCCUGUGUGGUUACCAGGAAACCUCCCGUGCAUAGAAACACUUUUCUGUGACUCGGGAUGGCUUAUCUGAGAGUAGAUGGUAAAGUGGUGAUGCCACAGGGGUACAAGACAGUGUUAGGGGAGCAGGAAACUGAAGAGAUUGAGCAGGAGACCAGCAAGGGGCCUUGACUUUGGUGUGCCUUUGAUGUGUAAUGCCACAGCGGAGAAGUCCUGUCUUUGAAAGACGGCGGUCUGGGUACUAGAAUGCUGGCCACCAGUUGUCUCUGUGACUGCUAAAACCAAUAGCAGUCGAGUCCCGGCACCACCAGACUCUCAUGCUACUGACCCCGGUGUGAGUGGCACUUGGGGUUCCGUGUGCGGAAACUGGACUAUAGAUAACUGAUUUGUUAGAGGGGGGCUGGGAGGCUUAGCGCAUUCCAGUGUGUUUCCAAGCAGUGUUCGAAAGCCUCCUGUAAGGACACUGAUUGCACCAUGUGAUGUUUGCCUGAUGCCAGCUAAUUAGGAAAACCCAUCCUGGGCCUAGCUUGAGUGAGCCCAGGGAAGGAUAAACAGUGUCGCUAUAGCUGGUGCGUUGCAGGUCCCCAGCGUAACCCGCAGUCCCUUUACACUUGAUCGAGCUUAUUCUGUGCACAGACUUUCGCUAAAGGCCGCCCCGUCCCAAUGUGUCAGGCAAUUUCCAAAAUGCAGUAGCAGUAACAGCCAGGCUUCUUAUCUACCUCCGCUGAACAGUUAAGAGGAACCUGAGUUUCACCAAGAGCAAUUCGUUGGACAGUUUGGCAUCGUUUGCAAAUGGGUCCAGACGUCACCACUGUGGAGUCCCCUUGGGCUGAGAUAAAGACUUGCUGACCCCUGGGAUCUUCCACUUUGGAGUCCGGCAUUCCUGACCCACUUGCCCGAGGCUGGGCCGUUGCUGAGGCCGGACCCCCAGGUACAAUUCUGAUUGUGCCAUUUACUCUACACAGAACGUGGAGCUUCUUAGCCUCAACCAUGCACAUUGAGGACAACAGACUCAACACGAAGCAUGAGAAACCAAGUGCCUGCUCUCGAGGGGUCCAUGUUCUAGAGGAGACGUCUCUAGUCCAGCGGCUGCACCGGACUUGGGGUUCAGAGUGAUGAUCUCAUGCUCUGUACAGCCCUCCUUGCUGAGGCUCCCACACGGAUGAGUGAACUACACGCCCAUAUUCACCUUGGGCGCCGGCCGGG